GACGAACGCUGGCGGCGUGCUUAACACAUGCAAGUCGAACGGUAAGGCCCUUCGGGGUACACGAGUGGCGAACGGGUGAGUAACACGUGGGUGAUCUGCCCUGCACUUCGGGAUAAGCCUGGGAAACUGGGUCUAAUACCGGAUAGGACUCCGGACUGCAUGGUCUGGGGUGGAAAGCUUUUGCGGUGUGGGAUGGGCCCGCGGCCUAUCAGCUUGUUGGUGGGGUGAUGGCCUACCAAGGCGACGACGGGUAGCCGGCCUGAGAGGGUGACCGGCCACACUGGGGCGGAGAGACGGCCCAGACUCCUACGGGAGGCAGCAGUGGGGAAUAUUGCACAAUGGGCGCAAGCCUGAUGCAGCGACGCCGCGUGAGGGAUGACGGCCUUCGGGUUGUAAACCUCUUUCAGUACAGACGAAGCGCAAGUGACGGUAUGUGCAGAAGAAGGACCGGCCAACUACGUGCCAGCCGCCGCCGUAA
rnacentral:rRNA from 1 species